rnacentral:rRNA from 1 species
ACGCUGGCGGCAGGCCUAACACAUGCAAGUCGAGCGGUAACAGAUCUAGCUUGCUAGAUGCUGACGAGCGGCGGACGGGUGAGUAAUGCAUAGGAAUCUGCCCGAUAGUGGGGGAUAACCUGGGGAAACCCAGGCUAAUACCGCAUACGUCCUACGGGAGAAAGGGGGCUCCGGCUCCCGCUAUUGGAUGAGCCUAUGUCGGAUUAGCUAGUUGGUGAGGUAAUGGCUCACCAAGGCGACGAUCCGUAGCUGGUCUGAGAGGAUGAUCAGCCACAUCGGGACUGAGACACGGCCCGAACUCCUACGGGAGGCAGCAGUGGGGAAUAUUGGACAAUGGGGGCAACCCUGAUCCAGCCAUGCCGCGUGUGUGAAGAAGGCCCUCGGGUUGUAAAGCACUUUCAGCGAGGAAGAACGCCUGUCGGUUAAUACCCGGCAGGAAAGACAUCACUCGCAGAAGAAGCACCGGCUAACUCCGUGCCAGCAGCCGCGGUAAUACGGAGGGUGCAAGCGUUAAUCGGAAUUACUGGGCGUAAAGCGCGCGUAGGUGGCUUGAUAAGCCGGUUGUGAAAGCCCCGGGCUCAACCUGGGAACGGCAUCCGGAACUGUCAGGCUAGAGUGCAGGAGAGGAAGGUAGAAUUCCCGGUGUAGCGGUGAAAUGCGUAGAGAUCGGGAGGAAUACCAGUGGCGAAGGCGGCCUUCUGGACUGACACUGACACUGAGGUGCGAAAGCGUGGGUAGCAAACAGGAUUAGAUACCCUGGUAGUCCACGCCGUAAACGAUGUCGACCAGCCGUUGGGUGCCUAGAGCACUUUGUGGCGAAGUUAACGCGAUAAGUCGACCGCCUGGGGAGUACGGCCGCA